rnacentral:rRNA from 1 species
AUUGAACGCUGGCGGCAGGCCUAACACAUGCAAGUCGAACGAGUGGCGGACGGGUGAGUAAUGUCUGGGAAACUGCCUGAUGUAGGGGGAUAACUACUGGAAAAGGUAGCUAAUACCGCAUACCAUCGGAUGUGCCCAGCUGGGAUUAGCUAGGAGGUGGGGUAAAGGCACACCAAGGCGACGAUCCCGAGCUGGUCUGAGAGGAUGACCAGCCACACUGGGACUGAGACACGGUCCAGACUCCUACGGGAGGCAGCAGUGGGGAAUAUUGCACAAUGGGCGCAAGCCUGAUGGAGCCAUGCCGCGUGUAUGAAGAAGGCCUUCGGGUUGUAAAGUACUUUCAGCGAGGAGGCGUUACUCGAAGAAGAAGCACCGGCUAACUCCGUGCCAGCAGCCGCGGUAAUAC